rnacentral:rRNA from 1 species
CCAGACUCCUACGGGAGGCAGCAGUGGGGGAUAUUGCACAAUGGGGGGAACCCUGAUGCAGCGACGCCGCGUGGGUGAAGAAGUAUUUCGGUAUGUAAAGCCCUAUCGGCAGGGAAGAAAUUGGACGGUACCUGACUAGGAAGCCCCGGCUAACUACGUGCCAGCAGCCGCGGUAAUACGUAGGGGGCAAGCGUUAUCCGGAUUCACUGGGUGUAAAGGGAGCGUAGACGGCCAUGCAAGCCUGAAGUGAAAGCCCGGGGCCCAACCCCGGGACUGCUCUGGGAACUGUGCGGCUGGAGUGCGGGAGGGGCAGGCGGAAUUCCUGGUGUAGCGGUGAAAUGCGUAGAUAUAAGGAAGAACACCAGUGGCGAAGGCGGAUGACUGGACGGCAACUGACGGUGAGGCGCGAAAGCGUGGGGAGCAAACAGGAUUAGAUACCCCCGUAU